rnacentral:rRNA from 1 species
CCUACGGGAGGCUGCAGUGAGGAAUAUUGGUCAAUGGGCGCGAGCCUGAACCAGCCAAGUAGCGUGAAGGAUGACUGCCCUACGGGUUGUAAACUUCUUUUAUAAAGGAAUAAAGUGAGGCAAGUGUGCCUUUUUGGAUGUAAUUUAUGAAUAAGGAUCGGCUAACUCCGUGCCAGCAGCCGCGGUAAUACGGAGGAUCCGAGCGUUAUCCGGAUUUAUUGGGUUUAAAGGGAGCGUAGAUGGGUUGGUAAGGCAGUUGUGAAAGUUUGCGGCUCAACCGUAAAAUUGCAAUUGAUACUGGCAGUCUUGAGUACAGUUGAGGUAGGCGGAAUUCGUGGUGUAGCGGUGAAAUGCUUAGAUAUCACGAAGAACUCCGAUUGCGAAGGCAGCUUACUAAACUGCCACUGACAUUGAUGCUCGAAAGUGUGGGUAUCAAACAGGAUUAGAUACCCCAGUAGUC